rnacentral:lncRNA from 1 species
GGGCCUUUCAUUUUAUCAUUUUUGGAAUGGAAAGGUGGCAUUAAAUUUUAUAUAGUUAUAAAUUUGCCGCGGUAUAAUGUUAUGGCGAAUUCUUCGUCAUCCGUAGGCAUCAAUCUUUACGCCUCGUUCCGCUCACCUGGAUUGUUAAAACCUGAAUAUUUAGUUUCAACAAUUUCUUCUAGCAGAGAAUUUUUCAUCUGAAGCUAAUAUUGAAUGAAGGUGUGGUAAAUAUUAAUGAAAC